rnacentral:rRNA from 1 species
GACGAACGCUGGCGGCGUGCUUAACACAUGCAAGUCGAACGAUGACGGCCGAGCUUGCUCGGUCUGAUUAGUGGCGAACGGGUGAGUAACACGUGAGCAACCUGCCCUUCACUCUGGGAUAACCUCGGGAAAUCGGGGCUAAUACCGGAUAUGAGCUCCUGUCGCAUGGCGGGUGUUGGAAAGUUUUUCGGUGAAGGAUGGGCUCGCGGCCUAUCAGUUUGUUGGUGAGGUAGUGGCUCACCAAGGCGAUGACGGGUAGCCGGCCUGAGAGGGCGACCGGCCACACUGGGACUGAGACACGGCCCAGACUCCUACGGGAGGCAGCAGUGGGGAAUAUUGCACAAUGGGCGAAAGCCUGAUGCAGCGACGCCGCGUGAGGGAUGACGGCCUUCGGGUUGUAAACCUCUUUCAGCAGGGAAGAAGCGAAAGUGACGGUACCUGCAGAAGAAGCGCCGGCUAACUACGUG